GCGACGCCGCGUGAGGGAUGACGGCCUUCGGGUUGUAAACCUCUUUCAAUAGGGACGAAGCGCAAGUGACGGUACCUAUAGAAGAAGGACCGGCCAACUACGUGCCAGCAGCCGCGGUAAUACGUAGGGUCCGAGCGUUGUCCGGAAUUACUGGGCGUAAAGAGCUCGUAGGUGGUUUGUCGCGUUGUUCGUGAAAACCCACAGCUUAACUGUGGGCGUGCGGGCGAUACGGGCAGACUUGAGUACUGCAGGGGAGACUGGAAUUCCUGGUGUAGCGGUGGAAUGCGCAGAUAUCAGGAGGAACACCGGUGGCGAAGGCGGGUCUCUGGGCAGUAACUGACGCUGAGGAGCGAAAGCGUGGGGAGCGAACAGGAUUAGAUACCCUGGUAGUCCACGCCGUAAACGGUGGGUACUAGGUGUGGGUUUCCUUCCUUGGGAUCCGUGCCGUAGCUAACGCAUUAAGUACCCCGCCUGGGGAGUACGGCCGCAAGGCUAAAACUCAAAGGAAUUGACGGGGGCCCGCACAAGCGGCGGAGCAUGUGGAUUAAUUCGAUGCAACGCGAAGAACCUUACCUGGGUUUGACAUGCACAGGACGCCGGCAGAGAUGUCGGUUCCCUUGUGGCCU
rnacentral:rRNA from 1 species